GGAAAUGACAUCAGACCAGACUGUGAGCACAGGUUUACUGUUCUUCACAUCCUGAAGUAAAAACCUGGAACAUCACAUUUUAUGAAGGAAGGAGAGGGGAGAGAGGAAGGCAGAAGAGAAGGAAGGGUGAAGCGAUUGGUAGAAAGUCUAAAAGACAAAACAGCAAAUGGCAGCAUGCCACCACAUGAUGUGAUGCAGGUCCAAGCAAGUGUCAGCGUCAGGAUAGAAGAUAGAAGUCACUCUUUGACAGCCUGUGGUAACCAGACCACAUGAGACCAGACCAGAAGAGGGUUGCCAAAUGAUGCCUGCUGGUAUUCCAAGACUCAGCCAAGUCCCACUGGAAACCACUGCUUCUACCAGCUCACUGUCCAGUGCCUGUACGCUGGCCAGCAGAAUUCCUGGCAGGGAAGAUCCACGCUGCUGGAGUCACAGCCGACUGGUACUAUUGCACAGAACUUAACUUUGGAUCAGUGUUGAUGCAGUGUUCAAAUAAAUACUGACAUACAAGCCAAAAAAAAAA